ensembl:snoRNA
UGUAUCAAUGAUGACUUCCCGUGGCGUUAUGAGUGCUAUGUGAUGAGUACCUGCCUGGAACUCUGAGGUCCAG